GAGAAGAUAAGCCACAGUAAUUGACAAUUAUUCUCUGAAUGUUUCUCCACAACUGAUGUUAAACUGAUUGCAUUCAUGUGGUGCUAAUGUUCCCAUAAAGUCAAGAAUUCCUGCGGAUUGGCCCACUAAUGGCAAAAGGAACAGAGAUACACGUCCAAGUCAUGAUGGUGCGUGGUAGGAAGAGGAACCAGGAAGUGAUGACUAUCCCUGCAAGAAUGCUGUUCCUUUUUAUUGCUGAUUGGCUGAAAUCAGACAGAAGUGACUUCUAAGGUUGAAUAUGACAUGGAGGAAGCCCAUUGGGAAGCAAGUAUUAAGAAGGGAAGAGUCUUCAGUGUCCAUGACUAAG